AGUGAACGCUGGCGGUAGGCCUAACACAUGCAAGUCGAACGGCAGCACAGGAGAGCUUGCUCUCUGGGUGGCGAGUGGCGGACGGGUGAGGAAUACAUCGGAAUCUACUCUGUCGUGGGGGAUAACGUAGGGAAACUUACGCUAAUACCGCAUACGACCUACGGGUGAUAGCAGGGGACCUUCGGGCCUCGCGCGAUUGAAUGAGCCGAUGUCGGAUUAGCUAGUUGGCGGGGUAAAGGCCCACCAAGGCGACGAUCCGUAGCUGGUCUGAGAGGAUGAGCAGCCACACUGGAACUGAGACACGGUCCAGACUCCUACGGGAGGCAGCAGUGGGGAAUAUUGGACAAUGGGCGCAAGCCUGAUCCAGCCAUACCGCGUGGGUGAAGAAGGCCUUCGGGUUGUAAAGCCCUUUUGUUGGGAAAGAAAUCCAGCUGGCUAAUACCCGGUUGGGAUGACGGUACCCAAAGAAUAAGCACCGGCUAACUUCGUGCCAGCCGCCGCCGUAA
rnacentral:rRNA from 1 species